UUUUGACUUUUUAGAGCUCUUUUUCAUAACCCAGUUCUUCGACAUAAAAGCAAAAGAUUGCUUGCAAUCUGAUUAUGCUCUGCUGUGCACGACUACAAUCACCUAAUUUAUUUCCGCUGCAAAGAAGAAAAAAUGGCAGAUGUGGGAGAAGCGUUUCUCUCUGUUGUCUUCGAGGGUUUAUUCAAAAAAAUGACUCUCGAGGUCCUUGAUUUCUUUCGGGGACGAAAACUCGCCGAUGAGCCCUUUAGAAAGAUGAAGACAGCAAUGCUGUCUGUGAGGGCGGUGAUCGAGGACGCGGAGGACAAGGAACUAACGCAGCCUGUGGUGAAUGGGUGGCUUGAUGAGCUGAAAGAUGCUCUCUAUGAUGCGGAGGACAUCUUGGAUGAGAUUGAUACAGAAAUCCGGAGACGCGAGUUGGCUGCUGAAUCUCAAACCGCUGCAAUUAAGGUACCGAACUCUGUCUCUACUCUUCUUAAUCCUUUUUUCAAGGAGAUGAAACGGAAGACGGAAGAGGUACUUGACAGAUUAGAAUAUCUAGCAAAGCAAAAUGAUGUCUUGGGUCUAAGAGAAGGUGUUGGAGGGAAACCAUCAGAAAGAUUGCCCACCACUUGUUUGGUUGAAGAAUCUGGUAUUUUUGGUAGGGAUGGUGAUAAGGAGGCAAUAGUUAAGUUGUUGCUCGCGGACGAUGCAAUUGCCCGUGCCAUGGGUGUGAUUGGCAUAGUGGGCAUGGGGGGAAUUGGGAAGACCACCCUUGCUCAGCUUGUAUACAACGACCAGAGGGUGCAGGAGCAUUUUGACCUUGAAGCAUGGGUGUGUGUUCCACAGCAAUUUGACGUGUUCGGGAUAACGAAAACAAUUCUAGAGGCAGUAACUUCGUCAACUUGUGAUAUUAAGGAUCUGAAUCAGCUUCAGGUUACACUGAAGCAGAAGCUGAUGGGGAAAAAAUUCCUACUUGUUUUAGAUGAUGUUUGGAAUAGGAAUUAUGCUGUUUGGGAGGUCUUAAGUCAGCCCUUUAAAUCUGGGGAGCAGGGAAGUAGGGUUAUUGUAACAACACGUGAUGACAGGGUUGCAUUAGUCAUGCGCACUUUUGCAACUUUUCAUCUGAAGAAGUUACCAGAGGAAGAUUGCUGGUCACUAUUUGCAAAAUAUGCAUUCCACGAUGGUAACUUUGAUGCACGUCCAAAGCAUGAGGUAAUCGGUAGACAAAUUGUGAAAAGGUGCGAAGGACUACCUUUAGCAGCCAAAACAAUUGGAGCUCUCUUGAGAUCGAAAUUAGAUGUUGAUGAAUGGGAUAAGAUACUAAAGAGCGAAAUUUGGGAUUUACCAAUUGACAAGACAAACAUACUUCCUGUUCUGAGAUUAAGCUACAAAUAUCUACCCUCACAUCUAAAGGGAUGCUUUGCUUAUUGUUCAAUAUUCCCAAAGGGUUACGCAUUCGAAAAAGAUCAAUUAGUUUUACUGUGGAUGGCUGAAGGUUUAUUGCAAGAACUCAAAAACAAAACAAUGGAAGAAGUUGGUAAUGAUUACUUUCUUGAUCUCAUAUCAAGAUCAUUGUUUCAACAAUCAAGUGAUGGCAAAUCAUGUUUUGUAAUGCAUGAUCUUGUCAAUGACUUAGCAAAUUCUGUUUCUGGGCAAUUUAUCUUUAGGUUGGAGGGUGACAGUGUUGAUGGAAUUGUGAACAAGACGCAUCACUUGUCGUAUUUCAGAACAAGAUUUGAUAACUUUAAGAAGUUUGAGGCUCUUAACAAGGUUAAGCAGUUGCGCACCUUCCUGCCAUUAGAAUAUUCCAUAAUGGACAACAAUUUAACUAAAAAGGUACCACAUGAUUUAUUGCCAAAGCUAAGAUGUUUACGGGUACUCUCUUUGUCUCACUAUGAGAAUGUGACUUACUUGCCUGAUUCAAUUGGUAAAAUUAAACAGUUACGUUAUUUGGACCUUUCUUUCACUGCAGUUAAAAGGUUGCCUAAUUCCAUAUGUGAGUUAAUCAAUUUGCAAACACUCAACUUAUCAUAUUGUAACAAUCUUGUUGGAUUGCCAAGGGAUAUGCGAAAACUCGUUAAUCUACGGCAUCUUGAUAUUACUGGAACUGGCAUAAUGGAGAUGCCGAUACAUUUGGGUAGACUAGACUCGCUCCAGACAUUGACUACAUUUAUCAUUGGCAAAACUAGUGGGUCCUCCAUUGAAGAGUUGGGAAAACUUACAAAUCUUCGAGGAAAGCUUGCUAUUUUGAACCUUCAAAAUGUUGUCUCUUCUACAGAUGCUUCGGAUGCAGGAUUGAAUGACAAGAAGCACAUUGAGGAGUUGGUGUUGGAAUGGAAAGCUGAUACUGAUAUUUUAGAAAGUCAAAGAACUAUACUUGACAGUCUCCAGCCUCAUUCAAAUUUGAAAAGUCUUACUAUCAAAUAUUAUAGAAGUAAAAGUUUUCCCAAUUGGGUAGGGCAUCCUUCAUUUUCUAAUAUAGCAUCUCUUCAUCUAUAUGACUGUAAAUAUUGCUGCAGCUUGCCACCACUUGGGCAUCUACCCUCUUUGCAAGACCUUUCUGUUAUUAAGUUUGAUGAAGUUGUUACAGUGGGUCGUGACUUUUAUGGCAACAAUUCUUCAAUGAAGCCAUUUGGAGCCCUAAAAUUUCUAAGGUUUGAGCGAGCGUUGAAGUGGGAGAAAUGGUUUUCUUUUGGUGCUGAAAGUGAAAGUGGAGCUUUUCCUCAUCUUCAAGAGCUUUAUAUAUAUUACUGCCCUAAGCUAUCAGGAGGGUUGCCCAUCCAUCUUCCUUCUUUAGCUAAACUUGAGAUCAGGGAAUGUCCGUUGCUAGGGGCUUUACUCCCAAAGGCUCCUGCUAUAUGUCAAUUGAAUCUAACACGUUGUAAUAAGGAUAUGUUAAAGGAUUUGCCAACCAAAAUACAGGUUCUCAAAGUUGGAGGAUUUGAUGCACUAGAUUCCCUAGCCAUUGGAAUGAUGAAGUCCAGCUAUUCUCUUCAAGAGUUAGAAAUCUCUAACUGUACCUCACUUAUUUCUCUUCAAGAGCUUCCAAUGCACCGGAUCUUUUCAUCCCUUAAAACAUUGCACUUGAUAAAUAUUUAUGAUUCUUUUAGCUCCUUCCCAUUGGACUUAUUCCCAAACCUUUGUGAUAUCUAUAUCAUUGGUUGUAGGAAUUUGAAAUCUCUAUCAGUUCCAAAACAGCAUUUAACGACCCUGCAAAUACGAAUCAUAGAUUGCCCUUGUUUUGAAUCUUUUCCAAAAGGAGGAUUGCUUGCCCCCAACCUUACAUUGCUUUGGGUAUGGAAUUGUGGAAGUUUGAGGUCACUGCCUGACAAGAUGCACGGACUCCUUCUAUCUCUUGAGGAAUUGCAAAUAGUACAUUGUCUAGGGAUCAAGUCGUUUCCUGAAGGUGGCUUGCCUUCAAAUCUGAGGUCAAUUUCCAUUGUCGAUUGUGACAACCUCAUUGCCAAACGAAUGGGAUGGGGUUUACAAUAUCUCCCCUUUCUUAAAAAUUUGUUUAUUUGUGGCGAAACGGGAGAGGUAGAGUCCUUUCCGGAGGUGGGAUUGCUGCCCACCAAUCUAAGUAUUCUUCAAAUAACGAAUUUUCCAAAUAUGAAAUCUUUGGAUAACAAGGGGCUUCAACGCCUUGCUUCUCUUGAAGAAUUGCGGAUCUAUAACUGCCCUAUGCUCAAGUACUUGCCAGAAGAGGGGUUGCCUGCCUCCGUUUCUAUUUUACUGAUCAGCAAUUGUCCUUUGCUAAAGAAACAAUGUCACAGGAAAAAAGGGAAAGAAUGGCGCAAGAUCGCUCACGUCCACCUAAUAAUGAUUGACGACAAAUUGAUUGAAUGAUCUAAAAGUCUAGCAAGAAUCUCCACUAAGAAUUUAACCCGCACUGCGCCAACUGAAGUUAUUGCUGUUUGCCUUCAAUUAUCAAAUUUUUGAGAUGAGAAAUUGGAGCUGGGUAUUAGAGGGUGAUAAUGAUAUUAUCUGUUGACUAAAUAAUGCAGCUAUGCUUGCGAGACUUGGAAAGACUGGAAUCUUGAUAGUCCUAAUAAUUUGUGGACUUGUAGAUUCAGUUGAUCAUGGGGCUUGUAGAUUCCAGUUCUUUUGAUUGUUUUCAAUUUUUCGGAACAGCUAUGCUUGCGAGACUUGGAAAGACUGGAAUCUUGAUAGUCCUAAUAAUUUGUGGACUUCUUGGGGAUAAUGUGUGAUAGCGAACGGCCUCAACAAAGUUAUUUUUUAGGGAGAUUUGCCUGUGGUGGUGACUGUCUUUCUUAGCCAGGACCUCCCUCUCAAGUGGCACGUAGAGCCUUUUAUCUCCAAAGCACGGCUUCUUCUGAAUAACAUUCCAGCUUGGUCGGACCGUAAAGUUUAUCGCAGUGCGAAUUGGACUGCGUAUAACCUAGCCGGAUGAGCUACGUGCCCUGACAUUAGUGGAAAUAUUCCCUUUUCCUCCCUACCCCCCGUUGUCCUAGUCCCCCUAGCUAUUAGGCUAUCAGUGAUAUUAACCCUCCUUAGCUAGUUUCACUCGCUGUUUGAGUUGUUUUUGGCUUUGUGCUUUGACUAUGUGUUCUUAUUUGCCCAGAUAAAGGAACUGGCUUGUUUUGUAAGACACCCUAAUGUCAUUGUUGGUCUGCAUCUUGUAUAAUAAAAAAGUCCAGAAGCGCUAAGACCUUCAUUAAAGAGAACAAAAUUGUUGCCUGAUUUAAGGAUUA